rnacentral:rRNA from 1 species
GAUGAACGCUGGCGGCGUGCCUAAUACAUGCCAGUCGAGCGAACAGAUGAGGAGCUUGCUCCUCUGACGUUAGCGGCGGACGGGUGAGUAACACGUGGAUAACCUACCUAUAAGACUGGGAUAACUUCGGGAAACCGGAGCUAAUACCGGAUAAUAUAUUGAACCGCAUGGUUCAAUAGUGAAAGACGGUUUUGCUGUCACUUAUAGAUGGAUCCGCGCCGCAUUAGCUAGUUGGUAAGGUAACGGCUUACCAAGGCAACGAUGCGUAGCCGACCUGAGAGGGUGAUCGCCUACACUGGAACUGAGACACGGUCCAGACUCCUACGGGAGGCAGCAGUAGGGAAUCUUCCGCAAUGGGCGAAAGCCUGACGGAGCAACGCCGCGUGAGUGAUGAAGGUCUUCGGAUCGUAAAACUCUGUUAUUAGGGAAGAACAAAUGUGUAAGUAACUAUGCACGUCUUGACGGUACCUAAUCAGAAAGCCACGGCUAACUACGUG